rnacentral:rRNA from 1 species
AGCGAACGCUGGCGGCAGGCUUAACACAUGCAAGUCGAACGGAUCGGUCUUGGGAUCGGUUAGUGGCGGACGGGUGAGUAACACGUGGGAACGUGCCCUUAGGUACGGGACAACGCAGGGAAACUUGCGCUAAUACCGUAUGUGCCCUUACGGGGAAAGAUUUAUCGCCUUUGGAGCGGCCCGCGUCUGAUUAGCUAGUUGGUGGGGUAAAGGCUUACCAAGGCGACGAUCAGUAGCUGGUCUGAGAGGAUGGCCAGCCACACUGGGACUGAGACACGGCCCAGACUCCUACGGGAGGCAGCAGUGGGGAAUCUUGCGCAAUGGGCGAAAGCCUGACGCAGCCAUGCCGCGUGGAUGAUGAAGGUCUUAGGAUUGUAAAAUCCUUUCAGCGGGGACGAUAAUGACGGUACCCGCAGAAGAAGCCCCGGCUAACUUCGUGCCAGCCGCCGCCGUAAUAC